CAGUAGCCGCGGGAAUACGUAGGGUGCGAGCGUUAAUCGGAAUUACUGGGCGUAAAGCGUGCGCAGGCGGUUCGUUAAGACAGAUGUGAAAUCCCCGGGCUUAACCUGGGAACUGCAUUUGUGACUGGCGAGCUAGAGUAUGGCAGAGGGGGGUAGAAUUCCACGUGUAGCAGUGAAAUGCGUAGAGAUGUGGAGGAACAUCAGUGGCGAAGGCGGCCAUCUGGGACAACACUGACGCUGAGGCACGAAAGCGUGGGGAGCAAACAGGAUUAGAUACCCCCGUAGUCCCUGUCUCUUAUAC
rnacentral:rRNA from 1 species